GUGGGGGCCGAGCGGGAGGUGCCGGCGGGGAGGGGAGCCCCCAGCCGGUCUCCGCUUCGUGUCGCCCAGCCCCAGACCGGGAGGGCGGGGGAGACGCUCAUCCCUCCUCUCCUGUCACUUCAUGCUUCCAUCCCACCUCCAUUCAUGCGUCCAUCCGUUCAUUCAUACGUUCGCGUUCACCCGGCGUUUACGCGUCGGGUCGCUCGGCGUUCAGAGCGCACCUACUGUGUGCUGGCGGGCCCUGGGCAGCUCCGGAGGGCCACAGCGCGGAGGGGGAUCCCAGCUCCACCUCUCCUCGCGGCCUCACCUAGCUGACGAGGAUGAUGGCACAGAUGAGGACACGGGGCUCACGUGGUCUAGUAACUUGCCCAAGGCCACACAGCAGACACAGAGCUGGGAUUCAGGCCUGUGAUGCUCUCCAGGUUUACCCACCUCCUUGCCAGACAGAGGCACCCGGUCCUCCAGACACGCCCAGGCUGGGGGGAGGCAGGAGGCUCGCAGCCCAGCAAGUGCACCAUGGCACGAAGAGAGCUGGGAAGUGGCCCAGAAGGACAGAUUGACUCAGCCAGGGCAUCAGGACAGACUUCCUAGAGCAGGAACACGGGGACCUGAAACAUGAGAAGGUAGCCUUGCAAGGGGGAUUGUGGAAGCCCCAGAGAAUUCCAGGUGGAGGAAACACAGUGACCUGCCCUGCCUCUCCAGAACGGGAGGGAGAAUGGAAGCUGAUCCUAAGGCACAACUCUGUCCCUGAGCAGGAUGGGUGAUGGGUCACAGCAUCCCUGCAAUUCCAGUGCUCCGUCCUGCCUGCCUGGGGUGCUGGCGAAGGUGCCCCAGAGAUGGCUGCUCUCCAGGAUGAAGGUUCCUUCAGAGUGGUUCCUUCUACCCUGAGGCAACAGAUACUUCUUCCUAUCAGACCCUCACCAGGGAGGAGGCUCUGGGUCCUCAGGUCCCUCUGGUCCUAAGUCUGGCUCCCUCAUUCAUGGCCUAAGGGUAAGAGAGGCCAGUUGUUUGGUCUGGGUAGAUGCUCAGAGAAAACUCCGGGAUCUCAAGAGGGGCCGGUGAUGCUCUGGAAGACCCACAGGGGCUGCGGUGGUUGGGUCCCUGAGCCCAACAGCACCGGUCUCUGAGAGCUCCUGGCAAAGCACCAGGGCCCAGGAGAGGAGUCCAGGCACCUCCUGUCAUCCAUCUCCAGACUGGGCACUCAGCCCUGGCACCUCCUCGGCCCAGGGAGACCUGGCCUGAAGCCUUUGCUUUGCCUGAGCUGUCCGUCAACUGGUGACACAUGACCUCUUUCCUGGAACCAGCCCGCCCCGGCCUUGUUGAUCUAAUCCUGAACCUCUGAGCCCCAGGUCCCUGUCACAUCCAUCUUUAAGUGCGAUCCCCUGGCACUGGCCCCAGGUGCUGCCCCCCCCCGUCCCUCCCAAUUCCAGUGGGACUUACAGUAAACUCUGUCAGGCUAGGACUAGAAUAAUCAAAAUAUAAUUGGGUUUUCAACUAGCUAAUGCUGCCACAGGCCUGGGUUGUGCAUGGGAACACUCUGAGCCGGGCAGAGGUGCCUUUUAGAAGAACAGAAAUCAGAAAACAAGCAGAGGUGUGCAGAGGGGUGCGGGGCAGGCCAGCAGGGGCUGCGUUGUGGGCCCGGAAUGGGGGACUCUGAGGGCCUAGUCUGGCAGGCCACUGAGGAGGCUAUGGUGUUUGGUCCCGGGGCCUAACAACACUGGCCUCUGGGAGCUCCUAGCAAAGUGUCACACCCACGGGAGAGCCCCGGGGACCACAUAUCCUCUGUUUCCAGGCCAGGUGCUCAGUCUUUGUCCCUCUCCUCAGGAACGGCUGGUCUUCCUUCAGGGUAUGGGUGGCUUGAAAAUGAUGGAUGUCCACUGAGAGA